GCUGUGCACAGUGGCACGUGCCUAUAGUCUCAGCUACUUGGGAGGCUGAGGCAGGAGGAUCACCUGAGCCCAGGAAUUCCGGCUGUAGGGCACUAUGCCAAUCAGGUGUUCUCACUAAAUUCAGCAUCAAUAUGGUGGCCUCCACCAGGUUGCCCAAGGAGGGGUGAACCGGCCCAGGUGGGAAAAGAGACAGGUAAAAAUUCUCAUGCUGAUCAGUAACGAGAUCGCGCCUGUGAAUAGCCACUUGCACUCCAGCCUGAGUGACAGAGUGAGACCCUGUGUUUU
ensembl:misc_RNA Metazoa_SRP Metazoan signal recognition particle RNA